rnacentral:lncRNA from 10 species
GGCAAAAAAGAAAAAGAAGGGUUAAGUAAGGCGAUCAGGAGUGAGGCAUGGGGAGCUCAGGGGCUGGGGAGGUCUCAUCAGGAAGGAGACAUUUGAGCAAAGCUUUGAACAGAUUCAGGUAGUUGACCACACAGAGCAGGGGAAAUUGCCAUGGUGCGGCGGAGGGGCAGGAGAAGGCCAAGUUGGCUAGAACAGAAAGAGCAAGGGACCAAGUGGUGAGGAGAAGAGUGAAAUUUUGACUUAUGUCUCAAAAAGGAUCAUUCUGGCUACCAUCUUGAGAGCAGACUUUUGGGGUACAAAGGUAGGAGCAAAUAGACCAUUUAGGAGGUCAGCAAACACAUGGCAACAUGUUCACUCUCACGGGUAACCAAAAAAAUGCAACUAAAAAAAUGUAUUCACCUGUUUUUAACCUAUCCAAUUUUUAAUGUUCUUUUAGAAAACAGUACUCAGUAUCAGUAAGGGUGAAUUACCUUCGGGCAGGUAAAUGGGAACCACCUUUCUGGGACCAGCUGGGUAUUCUGUGCCAAAGCCUCAAAAACACUCAAACCCUUUCACCAGAAAUCCAACUUCUAAUAAAUUAAUCUAAAGGUCUAAUAAUCGCCAGUACUUAUUGAGUGCUUGUAUGCACCAGGCUCUGAACUAAACGCGCUCCAUAUUACCCCCAUUUAAAUUCUUACCAUUAUUCCUGUCUUACAGAAAGAAAAAAGGCAUGGUGAGUCACACAGUUCACAAAUGAGGGCUAGAACCAAACCCAGGCACUGUGACCUGCUACACAGGAGAGGCAGAUAUGAAGAUUUCUUCAAGGGUGCUUAUUACAGCAUCAUUUAUAAUAGCAAAUAAAGUACCCAAAAAAAUCAACAAAGGAGGUGAUUCAUUCAGUUAUGAUUUGUCCACAUAAGUCAGUCAUUAAAAAUCUGGUUAAAGAAAACUCGUUUCCGAUCCAGCCAGGUGCUGAGACAGGCAGAACUUUCCAGAGCUUCUCCUUGGAAGCUGCCAGCUGCUGUGAUGUCCUAUUUCUUGAUCCAGGUGGUAAUCCAGAGGUGUGCUCACGUUGGGAUCAUUCAUCAAGUGGUACACCUAGGAUUUGUGGACUUUUGUGUGUGUGUAUGCUAUACUCAUGUUUUUAAAAGUUAUUUUUGGCCGGGCACGGUGGCUCACGCCUGUAAGCCCAGCACUUUGGGAGGCCGAGGUGGGCAGAUCAUGAGGUCAGGAGAUCAAGACCAUCCUGGCUAACAUGGUGAAAUCCUGUCUC